CUUAAGAUCACAAUGGGCUCUGAAAGUUUCUGUCACCUGAUGAGGUUGCAGCUGUGUAACAGCCUAGUCCUGGAUGUCACUCGGGACUUCCCUGCCAUCUUGGAUGUUGCUGUUGAACUGUGAAUGGGAACAAACUCCUCCUCCUUAAGUUGCUUCUGUCAGAUUUUGACAUAUCGAUAAGAGUAACUAUGACACCCACUGACCAGGAGUAGUUGAGCAUCACAUGGCAGCCAUUGCUUACACGAGAUCUGCUUCUCACCAAGUCUCCACCAGCACUAGAGAUCUAGCACUUGUGAUGGACGCUUUGCUGAGAGAUUGUGGGAGAACAGCUGCAUGGGCUCUUCAAGUGUUCUCCCUGUUGGUGGUGUGUGGAAAGCAAAAGUGGCAAGCAACCAAAGAGUUCUCAUUGGAAAUACAGAAAAAUGCUAAUUUUAAUAUGCUGUUGUGUGAGACAUCAACACAGUAUUAAAUUUCGUUCUUUGUAUGUAAAUAUUUCAUCUUCCCGGGACACACAGUUACAAAACAAAACAAGGUAAUCCUGCCAUACUCAAUAUGGUGGAUGAAUCUGGAAGACAUUAUGGUAAGUGAAAUAAGCCAACCCCCGAAGGAUGAAUACAGCAACAUUUCCUGCAUGUGAAGUUUCAGAGCAGCCAAAGAAAGAAGCAAGAAGUAGAAGGAGACAGCUGGGCUGGCAAUGGAAAGCAAGGAGGUGGAGGUUCAGUUGGUGAGGUGGUCAGCACACAGAACACAGCUGUCCUGGAACACGUCUCAGUCCAUGGCCGUGCAAGAAGAUCAGGACUUGCCCCUGGUGUAAAUUGACUAAUGUAUUCCUUAACUGGAGAGUCUGACGGGCCCAGCCUUUAGGGAGUCACUAGCAGGAUGAGAGAUACCAUAUCAGAGGGAGCCACUAUAGGUCCGAGAAGAGAUCUGGAACCAGGGAGAUCUCCAGAGACCUACAAGGAUGACUCGAUCUGACAGUCCGGGCAGUGGAGGAGAGGAUGGCCUAGAAGCCCUUCCCCUAGAAUGAGAUUGAUGACUACUCUCUAUGCUAUCCUAG
rnacentral:lncRNA from 1 species